rnacentral:pre_miRNA from 1 species
UCAUCUGGAGGGCUUGUUGAAACCCAGCAUAGGUCCUGGGUGGAGUCUGAGAAUCUGCAUUUCUGACAAGUUCCUAGGGGGUGC